rnacentral:rRNA from 1 species
GACGAACGCUGGCGGCGUGCCUAAUACAUGCAAGUCGAACGCUUCUUUCCUCCCGAGUGCUUGCACUCAAUUGGAAAGAGGAGUGGCGGACGGGUGGGUAACACGUGGGUAACCUACCCAUCAGAGGGGGAUAACACUUGGAAACAGGUGCUAAUACCGCAUAACAGUUUAUGCCGCAUGGCAUAAGAGUGAAAGGCGCUUUCGGGUGUCGCUGAUGGAUGGACCCGCGGUGCAUUAGCUAGUUGGUGAGGUAACGGCCCACCAAGGCAAUGAUGUUUAGCGGGGUUGAGAGACUGAACCGCCACACUGGGACUGAGAUACGGCCCAG